rnacentral:rRNA from 1 species
CCUAGGGGAGCUGCAGUGGGGAAUAUUGGACAAUGGGCGAAAGCCUGAUCCAGCCAUGCCGCGUGUGUGAAGAAGGCCUUCGGGUUGUAAAGCACUUUCAGUGGGGAAGAAAGCCUUGGGGCUAAUACCCUCGAGGAAGGACAUCACCCACAGAAGAAGCACCGGCUACUCCGUGCCAGCAGCCGCGGUAAUACGGAGGGUGCGAGCGUUAAUCGGAAUUACUGGGCGUAAAGCGCGCGUAGGCGGUCUGAUAAGCCGGUUGUGAAAGCCCCGGGCUCAACCUGGGAACGGCAUCCGGAACUGUCAGGCUAGAGUGCAGGAGAGGAAGGUAGAAUUCCCGGUGUAGCGGUGAAAUGCGUAGAGAUCGGGAGGAAUACCAGUGGCGAAGGCGGCCUUCUGGACUGACACUGACGCUGAGGUGCGAAAGCGUGGGUAGCAAACAGGAUUAGAUACCCGUGUAGUC